rnacentral:rRNA from 1 species
CAGCUAUCAUCAUGACAACCAUCAGUUCCAGCAGCAGAUCCAUACCUAGUGGAAGCAGCGAUAUUUAGCUGCGAGACGCAGCAGAGUAGGUAGAUCACUCCGAUCAGGUCUGUCUAUUGGUGUUCAGCCUUUCCUUUUGGUCCGCUCUACUUGCGUGCGCUGGAGGAGAAGAGGCCGCAGCUGUAGCAGUUCGUUGUCCGCUCGCGGCACCGGAGGUGGCAGAGCGACCGGUUCGGCAUGGAGGGCCGUUUCGAUUGGCUCUACUUGUGCCCGUUGUAGCAGCGGCCAGAGCCGAUGCAGUUCUUGGUAUGUCCUCGCCGGCACCGGAGGUGGCAAAGCAACCGGUUCGGCAUGGAGGGUCGUUCCGAAUGGCCCUACUUGUGGCCGCUGUAGCAGCGUCCAGAGCCGAUGCAGUUCUUGGUAUGCCCUCGCCGGUACCAGAGGUGGCAGAGCAACCGGUUCGGCAUGGACGGGCGUUUCGAGAGGUGCGCCCUGCCACGGCACCCUUGGCGCCGCUACCAGUAGCCCCCGCGGCACCCGCGGAUGAAGGAGACCGGGCGACGCCGGCGGGGGCGGCGCCGGCCGCGGUACUACUUCCGCGGACCACGGCGGCCGAAGGAGUAGAGGGCGUGCCGCAAGGACCGGUUGGGCGUCCAGAUGAUGGUCUAGGAGGCGUGGCGACCGCGGCGCCGCCGGCGGCGGCGAAAGCACAUCCCUUCGUUCGUUUGCGCGGGGAACCUAGAGAGGGGGCAAACGAAACAAAGCGCAUCACACAAAUUAAUUCGCACCAAGCUGAUAUACCACCAAGUAAGGUAGAUAAGAUGACGACAUAUGUCAUAUGAGGAACGGCACCCUCGCUCUCUUCUACCCCCACUAUUAUUCGCCACGGAGCAUGAGCACAAACGGUAACAAGAUCGGUAACACAAGACAAACGCUAUAACCACAAAACUUCGUUAACGACCGACGACCAAGGACGACAUAAGAGUCAAGUACACAGCUUAACAGGGAUAUAACAAUACUAAGACAGCAGAGAAGAUAUCAUGAGAGAGGCAAGGCUUUAUUAAUAGCGACCUCUAUUGGUCAAGUAAAAAGCAGUGCAACAUUAUAAAGAGGCGAAAGGGGAAAACGGGGAGCGUGAGCGAGAGAGGGGCUGUCCGGGGGGCCGAUGGUGAGCGGAGGAGGGGUGGGGUCUAGGCAGCUGGAGUGGGGUGGGUGGUGGCGGGUGACGGUCGAGGCUGCUGGGGGGGAACCGCGGGUAGGUGCUCGACCUCGUCGGCCUACUCCUGCUGGGGUAGCUCUGGCGGAGAAGGAGGCCGCUGGUGCGGUGGGUCGCGGUGGUCCUGCGGCGGCGUGGUGGUGGCUCGAAGGUCGAUAGGGGCAGGGUUAGGGGAGGAGGCCCGCCGGCGAGGAGCGCGUGGUGGUCUUCGUCGUGUUCGCCUGUCGUCGUCGACGCGGGCGGAGGGCGGGUGCGCUCGUCUUCAGCACGAGCUAGGCCAGUUUCCACUAUAAAAAUGUGCCCGCCACCACGAGCUAGGCACGACCUCGUCGCCCUCCUCCUACCGCCGCGUCACCAGAAGACAAGAAGGGACGACAGCUCUUCGCGGGGGCCGGACAACUGGGCGCGCGGGAGCAGGACCGGCACCGGCGAUGGGCCCGACGAGCGCUCCGCCGCGUUGUACAGCCCCAGCGGCUGCUGGGACACCUCCUUCUCCUCACGAACCAGGCCGCGAGGCCGGCAGAGGACGUGGGACGGCGGUUCGAGGAGCCUCUACGUAGACUUAAACAUCCGGCAUACGUAGCAAGACUACGAAUCCGGCCCCUCAGGGGGGAAAAGCUUUUUUUUAGACUUAAGUCCAUCCGCUGUUCACAAGCUGCUCACGACCGACGUCACGGCCCGUCACCACGAAGCUGACGCUCCGCUUCGAGCGGCCGAGCCGCCGAGGGUGACGCGGGCGAGGUGGCGGUGGUUGGGGAAGGUUGAGCAACAGGGCCAACCAUGACGGUCGUCGGAACGGCCAGGUUCGUUAGUUCUAGUAGUCGUUCAGUUAUUGCCUCUGCCAGCUCGUGACAGUAGUGUGACUUGGACGUUGUGGUCACUCUACUGACUUCUAACCCAACACCAACCUCACUCUCCUCUUCGUUUAGUGAACUGGUCAACUUAGGAACCCACAUGUUCUGCCGGCUCGACACCGUCCACUUCCUCGGUGACGGCGACGGGCGCGGCUUCUUCACGUUGACGAGGUACCACAAGUGGGAGUUCCUCUACCUCCUCCGGUGGCCGUACAAGUCCUCUUGAAGGAGAAACCAAACUAUGUGUAUGUAAUAAAUUGACACUAAAUCUCAAUACUAAUAAACUACACCGCUUGUAUCUUAGGACGGACGCGUAAAGACACUAAUAAAACAUGGGACUUAGGUUCAUUUAAUUCAACGGACAUGGUUCAACUCAUAAAUCAAGCUACUCAUUAAAAGACAGACCUCUACUACUCGUCUCGUAUUUUUACUAACGAAUAGACAUAUGACAACAACGACAUCAAAUUUUCCGAGUUCUAGAAGAUGAGUGUACGAACAAAUAGAGUGUAGAGACUCGGUUUCAAUAGAGUGUACGAACAAAUAAGUUAUAAAAAGACUGUAUGCGCAUUAUAUCUACCGCACGGGUUUCACUUUAGACUGGCCUCUGAAGCUUUCUAGUCUCUAAGAGAACUAACCUCACCUCUCCUCGUCUCUGCUCUCCUCGUCGUCUUCACCUGUCGCGUUGCCGACUGAAACUCGAGAACUAACCUCACCCCCUCCGCCGGCUGCUUCCUAGACACCGGUCGUCGCUUCCUAGGCUUCAACACCGCCUCGUCCGUCGGCCGCCCUUCCCGCCGGCCGCUCCCUCGACGCCUGGAACCGCACCUUCCCGCCGGCUACUCCCUCGACGUCUGGCGCCGCCCCUUCCCGGCCGGCCGCUCCCUCGACGCCUGGCGCCGCCCCUUCCUGCGGCCUACUCGGGCCGCUUUCCCUCGUCGCUGCCGCCUCUUCGGACCGCAUCCCCUCCUCGCUGCCUCCUUCUGCGGAGGGCUACCUAAAGUUUAACCCCCAUCAUAACAUGAAAGUGUGAUAAAGUGGACCAGCCUUACUACGGGGGUCGCUGUUAAUAAAGCCUUGCCUCCCUCAUCUAAAGUCUACACUAUUUCUUCGGUUGUAUUAGAUAGUUUUAGCGUGGGUACCUCCGUUAUAAGGAAAGCGUUAGUUUACUACGUAGAUAUCAGUUGAACUCACAUGGAACACCACCAAAUCGGGUGUAAUGGAGAAAACGGCUUUUAACUUGUUAUGUACGGGCUGUUUUCAAGUUUCGUUCCCGAACAUAACUCUUUUAUUUUG